rnacentral:rRNA from 1 species
CUACGGGUCGCUGCAGUGAGGAAUAUUGCGCAAUGGGGGAAACCCUGACGCAGCGACGCCGCGUGGAUGAUGAAGGCCUUCGGGUCGUAAAAUCCUGUCAGAAGGAAAGAAGUAUAUGGUAGCUAAUAUCUGCCAUAUUUGACGGUACCUUCAAAGGAAGCACCGGCUAACUCCGUGCCAGCAGCCGCGGUAAUACGGAGGGUGCAAGCGUUGUUCGGAAUUACUGGGCGUAAAGCGCACGUAGGCGGCUGUUUAAGUCAGAUGUGAAAGCCCAUGGCUUAACCAUGGACGUGCAUUUGAUACUGGGCAGCUUGAGUACUGGAGGGGGUGGUGGAAUUCCCGGUGUAGAGGUGAAAUUCGUAGAUAUCGGGAGGAAUACCGGUGGCGAAGGCGACCACCUGGCCAGAUACUGACGCUGAGGUGCGAAAGCGUGGGGAGCAAACAGGAUUAGAUACCCCUGUAGUC